rnacentral:rRNA from 1 species
UACGUAGGGACCGAGCGUUGUCCGGAAUCAUUGGGCGUAAAGAGCGUGUAGGCGGCCUUUUAAGUCCUGCGUGAAAUCCUGCGGCUCAACCGCAGACGGUCGUGGGAAACUAGAAGGCUAGAGUGCGGGAGAGGAGAGUGGAAUUCCCGGUGUAGCGGUGAAAUGCGCAGAUAUCGGGAAGAACACCCGUGGCGAAGGCGGCUCUCUGGAACGCAACUGACGCUGAGACGCGAAAGCGUGGGGAGCAAACAGG